rnacentral:rRNA from 1 species
CACGUAGGGCGCAAGCGUUGUCCGGAAUUAUUGGGCGUAAAGAGCUCGUAGGCGGUCUGUUACGUCUGCUGUGAAAACCCGGGGCUUAACCCUGGGCUUGCAGUGGAUACGGGCAGACUAGAGGCAGGUAGGGGAGAAUGGAAUUCCCGGUGUAGCGGUGAAAUGCGCAGAUAUCGGGAGGAACACCGGUGGCGAAAGCGGCGUGCUGGACCUCUUCUGACGCUGAGGCGCGAAAGCCAGGGGAGCAAACGGG